rnacentral:rRNA from 1 species
GACGAACGCUGGCGGCGUGCUUAACACAUGCAAGUCGAACGGUAAGGCCCUUCGGGGUACACGAGUGGCGAACGGGUGAGUAACACGUGGGUGAUCUGCCCUGCACUUCGGGAUAAGCCUGGGAAACUGGGUCUAAUACCGGAUAGGACCCUGGGAUGCAUGUCCUGGGGUGGAAAGCUUUUGCGGUGUGGGUUGGGCCCGCGGCCUAUCAGCUUGUUGGUGGGGUGAUGGCCUACCAAGGCGACGACGGGUAGCCGGCCUGAGAGGGUGACCGGCCACACUGGGACUGAGAUACGGCCCAGACUCCUACGGGAGGCAGCAGUGGGGAAUAUUGCACUAUGGGCGCAAGCCUGAUGCAGCGACGCCGCGUGAGGGAUGACGGCCUUCGGGUUGUAAACCUCUUUCAGCACCGACGAAGCGCAAGUGACGGUAGGUGCAGAAGAAGGACCGGCCAACUACGUGCCAGCAGCCGCGGUAA